UACGUAGGGGGCAAGCGUUGUCCGGAAUCAUUGGGCGUAAAGAGCGUGUAGGCGGCCCGAUAAGUCCGCUGUGAAAGUCCAGGGCUCAACCCUGGGAUGCCGGUGGAUACUGUCGGGCUCGAGUCCGGAAGAGGAGUGUGGAAUUCCUGGUGUAGCGGUGAAAUGCGCAGAUAUCAGGAGGAACACCAAUGGCGAAGGCAGCACUCUGGGACGUGACUGACGCUGAGACGCGAAAGCGUGGGGAGCAAUCAGG
rnacentral:rRNA from 1 species